UACGUAGGGGGCUAGCGUUAUCCGGAAUUACUGGGCGUAAAGGGUGCGUAGGUGGUUUCUUAAGUCAGAGGUGAAAGGCUACGGCUCAACCGUAGUAAGCCUUUGAAACUGGGAAACUUGAGUGCGGGAGAGGAGAGUGGAAUUCCUAGUGUAGCGGUGAAAUGCGUAGAUAUUAGGAGGAACACCGGUUGCGAAGGCGGCUCUCUGGACUGUAACUGACACUGAGGCACGAAAGCGUGGGGAGCAAACAGGAUUAGAUACCCUGGUAGUCCCUGAGCGGGCU
rnacentral:rRNA from 1 species